rnacentral:tRNA from 1 species
AAAAAGGUCAGCUAAGUAGUAAAGCUAAUGGGUUCAUACCCCGUAAAUAGGAUCUCCUCCUUUUUA